rnacentral:lncRNA from 1 species
UGCGCCAUUCGGGAGGCCCUCUCAUACAACAUUUCUAAUAUAAUUUCUAUAUUUUCUUGUCUUUCUAAGGUCCUGUGGAAAAACAAAAAUCUACUUAAAGAAGACAAAUGCUGUUGCUCGUAGGGAGCGUUUCAAGACUGGUAAGACCAGAGACAGAUGAGCUGGGGGACUAGUUGACCGGGAUCAUUGAUAGCCAGCAACACCUGGAAGGUAUCCCCGAUGAUAAUCAUUUGGACAAUUCAGAUGGGGGACCGUUCCAAACCUCAUUUGGUCAACCUGGGGGCCAACAUCGAUGAGAAAGACCCACUGCAGCAGAUGAAAACAUAAAGAGAAUGUGAAAGACUACUACCAGAAAUGGAUGGAGGAGCAGGCACAGAGCCUCAUCGAUAAAAAAGCAGGCUUGGGUGGCCCUCCACACCCAGGCAUGCUACCAGUACCCGGGCCCCAUAUGGGUGGUCAUGGUCCACCUAUGAUGCAAAUGAGGGGCCCCCCACCACAUGGAAUGAUGCCUGGAGGUGAGAUUGUUGCCCCAACACUUAAAUGAUAUAUUGUUGAUGUAAAUAUAUUUUUGAUAGGAAUUGGAUUAAAGAUCUACAAGUUCUCACCUGCGUUUACACAAUGUAUCUACUGCUGAUCACCAAUAUCUUCAUUGAACAAAAUACAGUAGUUCAUGCAUGGUCAAGGUCAUAACUUUGAGAUGUAUUUUUCACCAAAAUUUGAUAGAAUGGAUUCAUAAGGGACAUGUAUACUCGACCAUGAUUUGGAUCUAAUGUGAAUAACAAGUGAAACCAGUUAAGAUAUCUGUGAUGUUUGCUUUCCUGUAGGUCCAGGUAUGCGAACACCAAUGGGCCACAUGCAGAUGACAAUUUGCAAACUAAGUUACUCUACAAUGAGUCUUGACGGAUAUGUCAAAAGUUUCUGACAACAUGCCCAGCAGAACGACUAAGAACUCAACCAAAACCACCACCCCUGUAGGGCUCCCGAGUGGCGCAGCAGCCUAAGGCACUGCAUCUCACUUUGACCAUAUUGAUUGGUCAAAGUGCAAUGACAGAUAACAGACUGUGUUUAUUUAAGUGGAACAUUAGAGGGAGCCAUAGUCCCAUAAAAAAUUAAAAAGUACUCUUAAAAAAAAAAUAUAUAUAUAUAUAUAUAUAUAUACAGUAUAUUUCUGACUGGAUCACAAAUGACAACUCCUCUAUUCAGUUAGAUAUUGAGACUUAUUUUUCAAAAUACCCCUAGCAGGAUAUUUUAUUUUUCAGAAGCUUCAAAUCUGUAAAAGAUAGCUGAGAUAAUCCCAUUACAAUUAAUACACUCAAGGCAUGGAGGAUCAGUUCAACGUUUUGAGGGAAGGUCCAAAAUAACCUCUGCGCUCUUACCCAGAUUCUUAAGAUCAUAGAUUUUGUACCAAAAUUGGUGGAUGUUGGCUAUAACCUUUGGAUUAAUAAGGGCAUAGGCAGACUAAAUUAUUUAUAUUGUGACGACCCUCCCACUCUGUCUGCCGUAUUCUCUUUCUUUGUUCUUGUUUCUUUAUUAGGAUGCCGGUGGGCGGAGUUGGAAGGGUCGUCAGCUAAAUGGGAAGCACCUGGGCUCGGGUGUGUCCCAGGAUAAAGACACCUCUUCCACAGUCAUUGGGGAGACUCUCUCCACACAGACACCUUGUUGAUUUUGGUUGUGUAGUUUUGUAGCUUUUUUGGUUAUUUGCUUUGGCACCUUUCAACACCCUGCAUUAUUACAUUCAAGUAUGCAAAACACUCACUUACACUACUGAUUACACAUACCACUGUUAAUUACUUAGUUACUUUAUUUAAUAAAUAUAUAUUUUUGUUACCCCUUGUCUCCACGUUGUCUCCCUUUUGUUGCGAACUCUGAGCCGGUUCGUAACAAUAUGCUGACAAGAUUCUAAUGUCAUUUGAGCAGAUGGUAGAGAAAUAUCAGCUCCCAAAGCAGGACUUUUCCUGCUUUCUACAAGUCAGACACAUUUUCAACCAACAACUUGGUUGGCAACCCUGAUGUCUGUCAUUGAAAGAAUGCU